rnacentral:rRNA from 2 species
CAAGUGAAGAAGCGCAUACGGUGGAUGCCUUGGCAGUCAGAGGCGAUGAAAGACGUGGUAGCCUGCGAUAAGCUUCGGGGAGUCGGCAAACAGACUUUGAUCCGGAGAUCUCUGAAUGGGGGAACCCACCUAGGAUAACCUAGGUAUCUUGUACUGAAUCCAUAGGUGCAAGAGGCGAACCAGGGGAACUGAAACAUCUAAGUACCCUGAGGAAAAGAAAUCAACCGAGAUUCCCUUAGUAGUGGCGAGCGAACGGGGAUUAGCCCUUAAGCUUCAUUGAUUUUAGCGGAACGCUCUGGAAAGUGCGGCCAUAGUGGGUGAUAGCCCCGUACGCGAAAGGAUCUUUGAAGUGAAAUCGAGUAGGACGGAGCACGAGAAACUUUGUCUGAACAUGGGGGACCAUCCUCCAAGGCUAAAUACUACUGACUGACCGAUAGUGAACCAGUACCGUGAGGGAAAGGCGAAAAGAACCCCGGAGAGGGGAGUGAAAUAGAACCUGAAACCGUAUGCGUACAAGCAGUGGGAGCCUACUUGUUAGGUGACUGCGUACCUUUUGUAUAAUGGGUCAGCGACUUAUAUUCAGUGGCGAGCUUAACCGAAUAGGGUAGGCGUAGCGAAAGCGAGUCUUAAUAGGGCGUUUAGUCGCUGGGUAUAGACCCGAAACCGGGCGAUCUAUCCAUGAGCAGGUUGAAGGUUAGGUAACACUGACUGGAGGACCGAACCCACUCCCGUUGAAAAGGUAGGGGAUGACUUGUGGAUCGGAGUGAAAGGCUAAUCAAGCUCGGAGAUAGCUGGUUCUCCUCGAAAGCUAUUUAGGUAGCGCCUCAUGUAUCACUCUGGGGGGUAGAGCACUGUUUCGGCUAGGGGGUCAUCCCGACUUACCAAACCGAUGCAAACUCCGAAUACCCAGAAGUGCCGAGCAUGGGAGACACACGGCGGGUGCUAACGUCCGUCGUGAAAAGGGAAACAACCCAGACCGCCAGCUAAGGUCCCAAAGUUGUGGUUAAGUGGUAAACGAUGUGGGAAGGCUUAGACAGCUAGGAGGUUGGCUUAGAAGCAGCCAUCCUUUAAAGAAAGCGUAAUAGCUCACUAGUCGAGUCGGCCUGCGCGGAAGAUGUAACGGGGCUCAAACCACACACCGAAGCUGCGGGUGUCACGUAAGUGACGCGGUAGAGGAGCGUUCUGUAAGCCUGUGAAGGUGAGUUGAGAAGCUUGCUGGAGGUAUCAGAAGUGCGAAUGCUGACAUGAGUAACGACAAUGGGUGUGAAAAACACCCACGCCGAAAGACCAAGGGUUCCUGCGCAACGUUAAUCGACGCAGGGUUAGUCGGUUCCUAAGGCGAGGCUGAAAAGCGUAGUCGAUGGGAAACAGGUUAAUAUUCCUGUACUUCUGGUUACUGCGAUGGAGGGACGGAGAAGGCUAGGCCAGCUUGGCGUUGGUUGUCCAAGUUUAAGGUGGUAGGCUGAAAUCUUAGGUAAAUCCGGGGUUUCAAGGCCGAGAGCUGAUGACGAGUCGUCUUUUAGAUGACGAAGUGGUUGAUGCCAUGCUUCCAAGAAAAGCUUCUAAGCUUCAGGUAACCAGGAACCGUACCCCAAACCGACACAGGUGGUCGGGUAGAGAAUACCAAGGCGCUUGAGAGAACUCGGGUGAAGGAACUAGGCAAAAUGGCACCGUAACUUCGGGAGAAGGUGCGCCGGCUAGGGUGAAGGAUUUACUCCGUAAGCUCUGGCUGGUCGAAGAUACCAGGCCGCUGCGACUGUUUAUUAAAAACACAGCACUCUGCAAACACGAAAGUGGACGUAUAGGGUGUGACGCCUGCCCGGUGCCGGAAGGUUAAUUGAUGGGGUUAGCGCAAGCGAAGCUCUUGAUCGAAGCCCCGGUAAACGGCGGCCGUAACUAUAACGGUCCUAAGGUAGCGAAAUUCCUUGUCGGGUAAGUUCCGACCUGCACGAAUGGCGUAACGAUGGCGGCGCUGUCUCCACCCGAGACUCAGUGAAAUUGAAAUCGCUGUGAAGAUGCAGUGUAUCCGCGGCUAGACGGAAAGACCCCGUGAACCUUUACUGUAGCUUUGCACUGGACUUUGAGCCUGCUUGUGUAGGAUAGGUGGGAGGCUUUGAAGCGUGGACGCCAGUUCGCGUGGAGCCAUCCUUGAAAUACCACCCUGGCAUGCUUGAGGUUCUAACUCUGGUCCGUGAUCCGGAUCGAGGACAGUGUAUGGUGGGCAGUUUGACUGGGGCGGUCUCCUCCUAAAGAGUAACGGAGGAGUACGAAGGUGCGCUCAGACCGGUCGGAAAUCGGUCGCAGAGUAUAAAGGCAAAAGCGCGCUUGACUGCGAGACAGACACGUCGAGCAGGUACGAAAGUAGGUCUUAGUGAUCCGGUGGUUCUGUAUGGAAGGGCCAUCGCUCAACGGAUAAAAGGUACUCCGGGGAUAACAGGCUGAUACCGCCCAAGAGUUCAUAUCGACGGCGGUGUUUGGCACCUCGAUGUCGGCUCAUCACAUCCUGGGGCUGAAGCCGGUCCCAAGGGUAUGGCUGUUCGCCAUUUAAAGUGGUACGCGAGCUGGGUUUAGAACGUCGUGAGACAGUUCGGUCCCUAUCUGCCGUGGACGUUUGAGAUUUGAGAGGGGCUGCUCCUAGUACGAGAGGACCGGAGUGGACGAACCUCUGGUGUUCCGGUUGUCACGCCAGUGGCAUUGCCGGGUAGCUAUGUUCGGAAAAGAUAACCGCUGAAAGCAUCUAAGCGGGAAACUUGCCUCAAGAUGAGAUCUCACUGGGAACUUGAUUCCCCUGAAGGGCCGUCGAAGACUACGACGUUGAUAGGCUGGGUGUGUAAGCGUUGUGAGGCGUUGAGCUAACCAGUACUAAUUGCCCGUGAGGCUUGACCA